rnacentral:rRNA from 1 species
UGAUUCGCCACACUGGACUGAGACUCGCCAGAUCCUACGGAGGCAGGCAGUGGGAUUUGACAAUGGGCGCAAGCCUGAUCAGCAUGCGCGUGGAGUGAAGAAGCUCGGUGUAAGCUCUUUCGGCCGGGAGAAAUCGUGUCUCUACAUAGGCCCAUGGAUGACGGUACCGGACUAGAAGCACGGCUAACUACGUGCCAGCAGCCGCGGUAAUACGUAGGGUGCGAGCGUUAAUCGGAAUUACUGGGCGUAAAGCGUGCGCAGGCGGUUUUGUAAGACAGAUGUGAAAUCCCCGGGCUUAACCUGGGAACUGCGUUUGUGACUGCAAGGCUAGAGUACGGCAGAGGGGGGUGGAAUUCCUGGUGUAGCAGUGAAAUGCGUAGAGAUCAGGAGGAACACCGAUGGCGAAGGCAGCCCCCUGGGCCUGUACUGACGCUCAUGCACGAAAGCGUGGGGAGCAAACAGGAUUAGAUACCCUGGUAGUCCACGCCCUAAACGAUGUCGACUAGUCGUUCGGAGCAGCAAUGCACUGAGUGACGCAGCUAACGCGUGAAGUCGACCGCCUGGGGAGUACGGCCGCAAGGUUAAAACUCAAAGGAAUUGACGGGGACCCGCACAAGCGGUGGAUGAUGUGGAUUAAUUCGAUGCAACGCGAAAAACCUUACCUACCC